AAGUCGUAACAAGGUUUCCGUAGGUGAACCUGCGGAAGGAUCAUUAUUGAAUUAGCGAGGGCUGUCUGCUGGCCCCUUCGGGGGCAUGUGCACGUCCGAGCCGUUUAAAUCAACACCUGUGAACUCACCGUAGGCCUUCGGGCUUAUGUAUCAUAAUAUACUCAGAUCAUAGAAUGUAUGUUUUGCCUUUAAAAAAGCAAUCAAAUACAACUUUCAACAACGGAUCUCUUGGCUCUC
rnacentral:misc_RNA from 1 species